AUAGUACUCCCUCCGUUCCGAAUUACUCGUCGCAGAAAUGGAUGUAUCUAGAUGUAUUUUAAUUGUAGAUACAUCCGUUUCUGCGACGAGUAAUUUGGAAUGGAGGGAGUAGUAU
rnacentral:pre_miRNA from 1 species